GAUCCUGGCUCAGGAUGAACGCUGGCGGCGUGCCUAAUACAUGCAAGUAGAACGCUGAAGGAGGAGCUUGCUCUUCUGGAUGAGUUGCGAACGGGUGAGUAACGCGUAGGUAACCUGCCUGGUAGCGGGGGAUAACUAUUGGAAACGAUAGCUAAUACCGCAUGACAACAGUUAUUGCAUGAUAGCUGUUUAAAAGGGGCAACUGCUCCACUACCAGAUGGACCUGCGUUGUA
rnacentral:rRNA from 1 species